ACGUGAGCCGUUGAUGGACCCAAGAGGAUGCAGCCAGAACCACCAAAUCCUCCCUUCUCCUGUGCUUCCCACUCACUGCCUUGGGCGCUAGGAGUCGAGGGGACGAACGAGGAGAGGCUGAUGCACCGAGCUUGUCCCAGGGUCAGGCUAAGUCCCCUAGCCCCUGGUUGUCAGAGGACUCCCCCUUCCGCCCUAGAGCAAAACUUUGCCGAAGAAUGACUCUAAUUUCUUCCUAAA
rnacentral:lncRNA from 1 species